CCUCUCUUGGCCCAACCCCCAACACCAUCUGCCACACCAAUGGUCUGCUCCUCAGCACAAAUGAAGUGAGCAUCUUCUCCAUAAGGUUUUGAGGGGUUGUCUUUAGGUGAUCUAAUGAACAAUGGGAGGUUAUGCUAAAGUCUAAUCAGAAGAGAUGGAAGGUAAUGGAUGCUUUGGGUGAAAACUUCACUGCUUCCACAACCACCUGAUUCAUUAGAGCAUGGAGUGAAGCCUUCAGCUAGUCCUAGAGAUGAGGAUGAGAAUGCAGACUCCAUGGUGGAGAAAACAUAUGCAGUAAAGAUUGAUGAGGUGAUAAGAGAUCUCCUUGCAUGCUGAAAGAACUAAGAAGUUAAUGCGUGUCAUGACCUGAAUAUGGAGGUUCUCCUAGAAACUAGGAUUAGCAGUAUAGGAGCUGAAAAGGCUGUGAAGGAACUUGGCUUCCAAAGAGAAUGGCAAGAAAUUCAAGGCAUUGCGGGGGUAUCUGGGUGCUAUGUGGAUGCCAGAAUGUUGAUAUUUAUAUCCAAUAUCAUUCCAUUUGUGUUUAUUUUUAUUCCAUUUUAUUUUUUUUUUUUUUAAAAGUAGGCAUUGAUUUUUUUAAUUCCAUUUAGAAUUUGUAUUCCUUACAGGCAUCUAACUGGUGCUGUUAUUUUUAAGUGAGAAAUUGUGUUUCAAAUUAA